AUCGCAGCGGAAGCUCAGUAACNNNNNNNNNNNCUACCCUGCAGAGGAGCAUAAUCUCGGGAAACUGAGGCUAAUACUCCAUACCGCACUCACGUUGGAAUACCGAGUGCCACAAACGCUCCGGCGCUGCAGGAUGUGGCUGCGGCCGAUUAGGUAGACGGUGGGGUAACGGCCCACCGUGCCGAUAAUCGGUACGGGUUGUGAGAGCAAGAGCCCGGAGACGGAAUCUGAGACAAGAUUCCGGGCCCCACGGGGCGCAGCAGGCGCGAAACCUUUACACUGCACGACAGUGCGAUAAGGGGACCCCAAGUGCGAGGGCAUACAGUCCUCGCUUUUGUGUACCGUAAGGUGGUACACGAAUAAGGGCUGGGCAAGACCGGUGCCAGCCGCCGCGGUAAUACCGGCAGCUCAAGUGAUGACCGAUUUUAUUGGGCCUAAAGCGUCCGUAGCUGGCCAUGCANGUUCGUCGGGAAAUCCAUCCGCUCAACGGANGGGCGUCCGGCGAAAACCGCAUGGCUCGGGACCGGAAGGCUCGAGGGGUACNUCCGGGGUAGGAGUGAAAUCCCNUAAU
rnacentral:rRNA from 1 species